rnacentral:rRNA from 1 species
GACGAACGCUGGCGGCGUGCUUAACACAUGCAAGUCGAACGAAGUGGCGAACGGGUGAGUAACGCGUAAUCAACCUGCCCUUCAGAGGGGGACAACAGUUGGAAACGACUGCUAAUACCGCAUACUGAAGGAGGGGAUUGCGUCUGAUUAGCUAGUUGGAGGGGUAACGGCCCACCAAGGAGAUGAUCAGUAGCCGGGCGGAGAGGAUGAAGGGCCCCAUUGGGACUGAGACAAGGCCCAGACUCAUACGGUGGGCAGCAGUGGGGAAUCUUCCGGAAUGGACGAAAGUCUGACGGAGCAACGCCGCGUGAGUGAUGACGGCCGUCGGGUUGUAAAGCUAUGUUAAUCGGGACGCGGUACCGGAAUAGAAAGCCACGGCUAACUACGUGCCAGCAGCCGCGGUAAUAC